UUUCUUCACUCCAGCCAUUACUUUGCCGUUUCGCCAAAUUUGUCUUCCUUUAAAACCCAGAAUAUAGGGGAUAAGGGUUAGAUUUACACCAGGAAAGAAGAAUUGUACGAGACUAAGAGUAUUCCAGAGCAAGAAUUGGACAACAUGAAGAACUCGAAGUAGAUCUAGAUUUCAAUUUACCAGACAGUCACACUGGUCUACAUACUACAGUACAGUCCCACACAGCCACUCAUGUGUGGGAAAAUAUCGGUCUGCAGAAAACGACCAACUUUGCUUUGCUGCUGGAGCUAUACUUUAAGGUCAACAUUUUCUCCAGGAGGGUAUCUUCGGCUGCGGGAAAGUCGUCAACAUGGACUGUUCCAGUGAACAUGCAGUCUUGAUUUGUAAGACUAAACUGUCCAACAAACUUCACGGAAAUUAUGCAAGACAUGGGUGAGAGUUUGAGAAUUCAUCUGUAUGGGAUCCCUAUAGAGGAGAGCUUUUCAAAAUUAUACCAGUUAUGCUGACCAGCAAACAUUCAGCAAGUACAUCCAGUACAAUCGACCCUGUCACCUUUGUUCGGUCGGAAGGAAUCUGAGAAAGUAAUCUUCAAUACACAGCUUUUUUUCGAGCAAAACUUUUAAAUUUGCCGCACAGAUGUGACGUAUACGCCUCUGUCUGUGUUGUGAGGACCCUACGUCACAAAAAAUGUCGCGCAAUGCAUUGUGAGAGGAACCGGCUCGAUCAUUCACUUGUUUUUUGCUCAUUAAAGCCUUACUGCACUCCUUUUAGCUACUUGCUC